CCGACUCACAUGAUGAUGCAUAGUUCAGUUGACUUAUGCAGAAUGAUAACUCAAACUAUCAAAGAAAUUGGUCUUUCACCCCUAGCUGAAAACUUGA